rnacentral:rRNA from 1 species
UUUGGAGGGCAAAGUUGGUGCCCGCAGCCGCCGUAAUUCCCGCUCCCAUAGCGUAUAUUAAAGUUGUUGCAGUUAAAAAGCUCGUAGUUGAAUUUCGGGGUCAGUACGUUGGUCGUGCCUCCGGUAUGUACUGGUCUUACUGUCUCCUCCUUCUUGAAGAACCGUAAUGCCAUUAAUUUGGUGUUGCGGGAAAACUGGACUGUUACUUUGAAAAAAUUAAAGUGUUAAAAGCAGGAA